UACGGGAGGCAGCAGUGGGGAAUAUUGCACAAUGGGCGCAAGCCUGAUGCAGCCAUGCCGCGUGUAUGAAGAAGGCCUUCGGGUUGUAAAGUACUUUCAGCCGUGAGGAAGGUGUUAAGGUUAAUAACCUUAGCAAUUGACGUUAGCGACAGAAGAAGCACCGGCUAACUCCGUGCCAGCAGCCGCGGUAAUACGGAGGGUGCGAGCGUUAAUCGGAAUUACUGGGCGUAAAGGGCACGCAGGCGGUUAAUUAAGUUGGAUGUGAAAUCCCCGGGCUUAACCUGGGAAUGGCAUUCAAGACUGGUUAGCUAGAGUCUUGUAGAGGGGGUAGAAUUCCAUGUGUAGCGGUGAAAUGCGUAGAGAUGUGGAGGAAUACCGGUGGCGAAGGCGGCCCCUGGACAAAGACUGACGCUCAUGUGCGAAAGCGUGGGGAGCAAACAGGGAUUAGAUACC
rnacentral:rRNA from 1 species